UGUCAGAUGGCCCGAGCGGUCUAAGGCGCUGCGUUCAGGUGCGCAGUCCUCCCUGGAGGCGUGGGUUCGAAUCCCACUUCUGACAG